CUUCCUGGAAGUUUAGCUCUUAACAUAGAACCAUCGGGAAGUACAAGUUUCUUCAACAGAUUAAAGUCAUGGUGUCCAGGCUUGUCACGGCACAACAUUACAACAUUAGAAGCAUGAUAUUCAGCCAUUGGAUGUAGGCUCUAACAUUGCAUAAAAAAAUUCAGAGCUAAUUAGCUCAUGAAGAAGCUAGCACAUAGUUUUUUCAACGAAGGGUCUAUUUUUUGACAACGUACAUGAAAACAUGUCCCCAUCUGGCUGCAUAAAUUCACCAAGGAAAAUAGUAUUGUAUGCCACUGAUGCAAUGUGAAUUGUGUGGGAUGCAGGAUCUCUAGGCCAGAAAUCAUCUGACGCUCUAAUAACAGCUGAUAGCUUUGCACUGCAUCAAGCGAAUUCAUUAAAAAAAUGUCAUUACUAAUAAAGUGUCGAAGCUAUGGGGAUACUCUGGUGGACUCACUGAGGUGCCAAAGACCCUAAUAACGGUGAGUUUAAAAAAAAAAUAGAGGAAUUUUCAUAAAAGCGUUUACUUGAAUUUUGUUAGCAAUCAUAUUUGUACCAAUAAUAUCAGUGAUGUAAAUUAUAAACUGAAAAUUAGGCAUUAUCAUUGAAGCAAAAACAAAGAAAUAUUGAAAAGUUAAAGCUGGUAUUGUGAAACUCA